CAGUACAGUCAAAACAACAUACUACAUACUGUUCACAAUAUAGAAACACCCAUGUACACACACACACACACCAGGAUAGGAUCGAUGGCAAUGAGGCCACUCAGAAGAGCAGCAAAAACAGCAGAGAAAGGGAGAGGGAGAGAGAGAGAGAGAGAGAUCAAUCCUCCCUGGGGAGUAAUGACUAUUCUGUUUAACUCUGUGUUUUCUUCUUGCAGCCCUUCCUGUGCUGUCCAUGCCUGGAAGCUGUGCUGUGUUACAGGGACCGGGAGGGAGAGAGAGAGUCGUCCUGACAGAACACUGCACAGAGUGGUCCCUGUUAGCUCAGCCAGACAAUCUCUGCAGCAAAUCAGCUAACGUGGUGUCAGGAACUGGGCUUCUGCUUCGCUGUGCUCUUCUUAGCCUUAAGUGCAGGAGCCUUGUAUCCCUGCAUUAAGGCUGGCUAGGGGGAGGAUUGUCUGAUGCCUGGAUAGUUGUCUGGAGCCUAACCCACACAAGAACAGAGGAAUAUUCUGAGAAGACAGCUCUUAGACAAGAUGGUGCAAGGCAUGGAAAGAUAGGUGAAACAGCGGCAAAGGGUCACAGAGAAGCCUCACAACACUGAUUUAUUUUCCUGAAGCCUGUUGAAGAAUGACAGCGGGACUUGCCCUUCGAAUUUAGGAAUUGGGAAAAGGUUGUACGUGUCACUCCCUGACUUUAGUUAUAUUUGUUUUCUUAAUUUUUUGGUUAGGUCAGGAUGUGACAAGGGUGGUUUGUUUAGUUUUUUAAUUUGUCUAGGGUUUUUUUACUUUUUUGUCUAGCUAUGGGGAUUUGGUAUGGUCUUGGGGAUUGUAGGUUUAUGGUGGUCUGAAUUGGUUCCCAAUCAGAGACAGCUGUUUCUCGUUGUCUCUGAUUGGGGAGCCUAUUUAGGUUGCCAUUUUCCAUGUUGGUUUUGUGGGUAGUUGUUUUCUGUUUUGUAUGAGUACAUGACAGAACUGUUGCGUUUUGUUCCACUUUUGUUUUUUUGUUUCAGUGUUCAGGUUUUAAUAAACAUCAUGAACACGUA